CCGGCAGGCCGGUCCGUCGCUCCUGCACUCAGGUGCCGGGGAGGAAAGUCCGGGCAACGCAGAGCACCAUCCUUCCUAACGGGAAGAUAUCCGAAAGGGUAUAGCAGUGUAACAGAAAAGAACAGUCCCGCUCCGCGGGUCAAUGGUGAAAAGGUGAGGUAAGAGCUCACCGGUUCUGGUGGUGACACCGGGAGCCGUACACCUGAUGGGUUGAAAGACCAUGUAUACCGGCGUCUGAGGGCUGCUCGCCCGAGCCGGGGGGUAGGUCGUAUGACCGCGCCAGCAAUGACGGGGCAAGAUAAAUGACGGACAGGGAACAAAAUCCUUUACUGGAACCGUCUCCCGACAGAACCCGGCUUACAGGUCUGCCUUUGAU
rnacentral:RNase_P_RNA from 1 species